GUACACACCACUUCCAGGAGGAGGGACAUGCCGGUGAGCAGCCAAUCAGCAGCAUCGACAGUUGAUAGCCAGAUGCAAACGAAUGCUGAGUGGAAACCUCAACGUUUGUCUGCGUGGAUGCCAUAUUGGAGCGGCGAAGAUCCGCUAUAAAAAGCACACCUGAGGAAGCAGGAAGGAAGUGCAUGUGUGGGACACCAGGGAGACUUUACUGGCAGGUGGAAAAGCCAUGUGCCAAACAAAAGGAUAACUGGAGGAAUUCUGUAAGCAGCCUGUGAAAAUCAACAACCCAACUUCUGACCUGGACCGCCUGCAUGACAAGCACAACCUCCCCUAUGUGAACAGCCAGACUGUGCGGAGAAUAUUUGAGAGGGAAGCUAACCGCUUCUUGGAUGAGCCUCAGAAGGCAUUGGUGUCUGACUACCUGGCCCAUUGUGGCAACACAGCUGUAAAACAUGACCGCAUGAAAAAUCGUGGGGCAGUUGUGAUGGCCGCUGAUAUAUUGACCAGGAUGGGUGAGAUGUCAAGUGCCAGGCCUUCUGGAGAAGGGGCCAGUCGUGAGCUGUUUGGAGAAGGGAAUAUUCUUCAAUCCGAAGAGUCCUCCAGCCAUGGUGACCAUUGUGCUGUCCUCUCCUUGAAACAGCCAUUGAUACAUUUGCACAAGCUCCCAGAGGAGAAUGAAAAGGUCAGGUUCCACUAGGCAUUCAAUAGCCUCUUGGAAAACCACCCUGUUACACUGAGUGGGAAACAGCCGGAAGUGAAAGAGCGCAGGGAUGUCUCAAGACAAGCAGCGGAAGCUCUACACACACACUGGGGGGCUGCGCAAUUGCAAAUGCGUGUAAACCAUACCCAUGCUGAAACAAUUCAGUCGGCGUAUGCCAACCAAAGAUCGGGUCGAGGCAUGGGUAAGAAAGCAGGGAUGGAAGGGGAUGACUGCCAACAUAGCCAUGGAAGUUAUCCAGAACUGGCCACCAUCUGGAUCUGAUGACUGUAUUAUGGACAGCAAACAGAUCCAGACAAUGGUGGGAACGCAGCAGUGGAAAGGACUUCACAUUAGGGAAGUUACAGGAGGGGGCAGAGGGAUCGUCACGACCCGAAUAUUUCAGGCUGGUGAGGUUGUCUGCGAUUACCAUGGACCUGUGGUUAGUAAGAAGGACUGCGAGGAAAUUCACUGACGCACCAACGAAAAGGAGACUGGGUAUUGCUUCUUUUUCAAGAAUAGCAAAGGGCUGUCAAUGUGCAUUGAUGCCCAUUCAGAGACUUGUCAUUGCCACCCUGGGAUGCAGACUGUUGGCAGGCUUAUCAAUCACUCAAAAAGGGACACCAACAUUAAGCCCAUGCAUUUUGCAGUGGAAAUGGAUGGAGAAGAA